rnacentral:lncRNA from 1 species
AUAUUGUUGAACUAACAUGUUACAGUGCCUCCUCGGACCUAUCGGUCGAGCUUUUCCCUUGGGUGGUCGUACCCACUGGGAACCAUGGAGUUGGUUCUCACCCCACGUGGUUUUGGGGUAUUUUCAGGUUGUACGUGUGCGGCGCGGCGGCGCGAGGCGAGGGCGUAGCUUCGUAGAUAGCGCUCUACCCUAGAGACUGAGGUAGCAGUACCCGAGUUCGUGGUCUAGCUUGAGGGGUUUAGAGACAAAGUGCAAACUUGUAAUAAUGUAAUAAUGUGAUUGUAUUUGGAAGUUAAGCAAAUGUAAAAGAGAAAUAUUGUAUGAAAUGAAUACGUGUAAUAGCAGUUAGUUCUAUGUAUUUGAUACUUC